AUGCUGAUGAUUCCUAGUGUGCUCAUGCGAAAAUGUUUGCUCAAGUUCAUUAUUAAAUCAUAUGCGUUGGACAUAAAAAGGUUCAUCAUGCCAUCAAAAAACGGUGUGAUAUCAUUGCGCACCGAAGAUGUGCUUGACAUUUUCGGGCUACAGAAUAAGGGCAAAGAUGCCAUGAAAGCGCUAGGAAAAGAGGGGUUAAAGGCGAAGGUGAAGGUGCCUAGUCGCUUUCUAGAUUCUAAUACGGGGGAAAUGAUGAUAGACGAGCUGAUUGAGAACAUCGUUGCCAGUGGCACGUACGAUGAUGAUUUUCUCCGUAGAAUUGUUCUGGUUCUUCUAGGCACGGUUCUUGCACCGCAGUCCACGAAAGAAGUUCCUAAUGCUUAUUACAAGUUAGUGCACGAUGUGGAGGCCAUCAAAGCAUAUAAUUGGAACGCGUUUACUUUACGCGUUUGCGUUGAAGGAAUCACAAAGACCUUAUCAGAUCAUACAAAAUUUACUUGGCCGGUCGGAAACCUUGCCCUCCUACAGUACUUGUUUUGGAAGAAAGUGUAG
rnacentral:rRNA from 1 species